UCAGUCCACGAGAACCUUCGCGACCGGCGCGUCUCCGCCGAAAGCUCCCAACUUUUCACUUCCCCCCGGCCCGCCCCCCGCCACGGGCCCCACCUCCGAGGAGGGCGAUGGGGUGGGGCUGCUUCCCGCUCGGAAACUAAGAAAUAAAUGCCUCUUCCCGACUCCGGCGAGGCGGGGGAAAGGCCGAGGAGCUGCCGGCGCGAGCGUGGAACGACCUCCGGGGCGCCGGGGUGGAGAGGCGCCCCUCCCCCGCAGGCUCCCCGCCCGCCUCCAGGCAACAGAUUGUAUUGAAAAUGGAAUGCACGGAAAUCUGGAUCACUUGUGAAAGAGCAAACCUAUUGGGUUGCGAGACUUUACCACAAUAGUGCAUGCAACCGGCCUUUACACCUGUCACUGGUCUUUUCAAAGAGAGGGUAUAACGUCACCUGGGAUGACAGCUAGCCCGCUUUGAGCGUCAUCUAUAAUUUGCGGGUGAUCUCGGGACGUCAGGCGGUCAUUGUGAAGAUGAAAUGAAACAGGCUUAUAAGUUUUCUGGCUCAGGAAGAUUGCCGCAGCCCUCUUGAUGAGGAUUCCCGCGGAGGGGUCUGAAAUACACUCAGAGAACAGAGACGUAGAAAACCACCAUUUUCCCCCGUAUCACCUUUAAUCGCUUCCUCCCCAACCUCUCUACACGCGGCCCAGAGCUGCGACGC